UUUCCGUAGGUGAACCUGCGGAAGGAUCAUUCAUAAUAAAGUGCUUUAUGGCACUUUUUAAAAAUCCAUAUCCACCUUGUGUGCAAUGUUAGAUCUCGUCAAUCUUGGCGAGAUUUUUAUACAUCAACUCAUUCUUAAACUAAUUUGUCUGAAAAAUAUUAUGAAUACUUAAUUCAAAAUACAACUUUCAACAACGGAUCUCUUGGCUCUC
rnacentral:misc_RNA from 1 species